rnacentral:rRNA from 1 species
CGCUGUGAGUAUCGCCCCGUGCAGUGCUGUAUCUAACGCGUUUAGUAUCCCGGCUGGGUACUACCUUCGCAAGAAUGAAACUCUUAGGAGUUGACGGCGGCCCGCACAAGCGGUGGAGUCAUGUGGUUUAAUUCGGAUGCAGAGCGAACAACCUUACCGGGGGUCGAGAUGCCGCGCAUCCUCACGAAACAGAGGGGUGCCUUCGCCAACGCGGACACAGGUGGUGCAUGGCUGUCAUCUACUCGUGCCGGAUGGUGUUGGGUUUCCUCCCGCAAC